rnacentral:rRNA from 1 species
GACGAACGCUGGCGGCGUGCCUAAUACAUGCAAGUUGAGCGCUGAAGGUUGGUACUUGUACCAACUGGAUGAGCAGCGAACGGGUGAGUAACGCGUGGGGAAUCUGCCUUUGAGCGGGGGACAACAUUUGGAAACGAAUGCCAAUACCGCAUAAAAACUUUAAACACAAGUUUUAAGUUUGAAAGAUGCAAUUGCAUCACUCAAAGAUGAUCCCGCGUUGUAUUAGCUAGUUGGUGAGGUAAAGGCUCACCAAGGCGAUGAUACAUAGCCGACCUGAGAGGGUGAUCGGCCACAUUGGGACUGAGACACGGCCCAAACUCCUACGGGAGGCAGCAGUAGGGAAUCUUCGGCAAUAGACGAAAGUCUGACCGAGCAACGCCGCGUGAGUGAAGAAGGUUUUCGGAUCGUAAAACUCUGUUGGUAGAGAAGAACGUUGGUGAGAGUGGAAAGCUCAUCAAGUGACGGUAACUACCCAGAAAGGGACGGCUAACUACGUG